UAAACGACUCUCGGCAACGGAUAUCUCGGCUCUCGCAUCGAUGAAGAACGUAGCGAAAUGCGAUACUUGGUGUGAAUUGCAGAAUCCCGUGAACCAUCGAGUCUUUGAACGCAAGUUGCGCCCGAAGCCUUCUGGCCGAGGGCNYGCCUGCCUGGGCGUCACGCA
rnacentral:rRNA from 1 species